UCCUGCCUGGGCUGAAUCAAACGCUCUAAAUUUAGCCCAUCUCAUUCGUCCUUGCUUCCUGCCCCUGCUGCCCUCCUUUCAAGGCGAUGAGGUCACCCCGGAACCGCCUGCUCAAGCAGCCAGACCCAGGGGGUUUCCAGGGCCAGGCUGCUCUCCUGCUUUGGGGAACAGGCUAUGAGGGGACCAGGGGUCAUGGGUCCUCUCUCCCUCCUGCCUUGCCCAGCCCCUGGGCUGCUGGGCCCAGAGCUGAAUCUCUAGGAACUUUCUCUCCAGCCUUGGUGGGGAGGCUUCGGAGGGAGGGAGCGGCGAGCUCCCAGGGAGGAAGGCCACACUGGAGCACCAGGGGCCUGGGCGUUUGGAAGAAACACCAAGGCUCAGGGUCACCCAUUCAAACAGGCUGACUGGGUGCCUGCUGUACCUGGGUCCAGCCCGGGGGAGAGCAUGACCCUGCCCUCCCGGCGUGGACAGUCUCGAGGAAGAAGGACAGUCAGCAAGUCAACACGAAAGGACCAAGAUCAUCGUUUUGGUUGUGACCUGCUUUGGUCUCUCAUGCAUCUCUGAGGCCCAGAGAGGGUAUGUGUCUUGUCCAAAGUCAUACAGCACGUCGGAGCUCUGCCUGGAAAGUCUUUUAUAGUGUGUAGUGAAAGGAACUUUGCCACCUGAAAAGUGUCUUUUCAAGAACACCGUGUCUGAGACACUGCCCUCAGCCCAGUCCCCUCAAUCUGCAGGCUGCGCUGUGGGCCCUGCCCAGGCUCCUGUUGGGGUCAGGGUGAGCAGGCCAGACAUGCACAAUCCUUGCGGGAUGAGUGGGGGUCUGCCACGUCUGGAGCCUGGCUCCUCCCCCAUUCUGAAGACAGGUGUUCCAGCUCGUCGGCCCCUCGCCCCCUCCCAAACCGCAACCCUCUCCCCCAUGCCUCUGCCCUGUGUCUCCCAGAAGCCCCUGCUCUCCUGCUCUGCCAAGAAUCCGGGGUUGGCAGGGACUUGUGGGGGGCCUCUGGAAUGUCGCUUUCCGGUGCCAGCACCAGUUUGCCAACCUCGGCAGAGGCCUCGGGGGCGGACGGGGGAUCACUGGAUCUCGUCUGGAAUGGGGCGGCUGGCAGCCACAGGGGCUGUGCCUGCCGCCUCUCAGGUGAGGGACGGCCAGUCCCGGAGCUGCCCCCGGCUCCCUGGACUGCUGGCCUGCUCCCUCGACUUACCGUCCCUCCAGGAGCGGGGAGCUGGGUCCCUAGCAACAGCGUCCCCGUCUCACUCUUCCUGUACCCUCCACGCUUUCAGUGCCUCUCGCUCACACUUGAACCCUGUGGAGUCGGGGAGCUAGCGCUCUGUGUUGUGAUUCCUGUUGACCCUGCAGACACUGAGGGUGAGGAAAAGAGCUUUAGAUGAAGGCCGAUCUGGGUUCAAAUCCCGUCUGGACAGUGACCGCUUCUCUGGGCCUCAGUUUCCUCAUUUACAGCAUGGAGGCUAUCCCGCUGCCGCAAGGGCGUGGUGCGAGCAUGUAACAGGGUGACACCAGGCCGCUCCCGGCCCUGGCCCUUCCAGCUCCUCAUCUGUGGGCUCCCUCCUCCUCUCCCCGCUCCUGCUCAGUUCCCCUGUCCCUGGUCAUGCAGGGGAAGUAGAAAGCUCCUUCCCUCUGCCGGCCAGGGGGAGGGCCCGGGACAGGAGCCGGG
ensembl:lncRNA